AAGUCGUAACAAGGUUUCCGUAGGUGAACCUGCGGAAGGAUCAUUAUCGAAUCUAAAUCUGAAGAGGUAGAGAGACUGUAGCUGGCUGGAUCUAGUCUUUCUAGUCUGGCAUGUGCACGUCCCCUCACCUUUUCUAUCUACACACACCUGUGCACCUAUUGUAGAUCCCCUCUUGAAAGAGAAGGGAACUAUGUUUUUAUCACAUCACACACAUUGUAUGUCCAGAAUGUAAAUUUGUCAAUCAUUGAUUUGAUUGAUGAUAAAACAUAUAUAAUACAACUUUCAGCAACGGAUCUCUUGGCUCUC
rnacentral:misc_RNA from 1 species